UACGGAGGGAGCUAGCGUUGUUCGGAAUUACUGGGCGUAAAGCGCACGUAGGCGGCUUUGUAAGUUAGAGGUGAAAGCCCGGGGCUCAACUCCGGAACUGCCUUUAAGACUGCAUCGCUUGAAUCCAGGAGAGGUGAGUGGAAUUCCGAGUGUAGAGGUGAAAUUCGUAGAUAUUCGGAAGAACACCAGUGGCGAAGCCGGCUCACUGGACUGGUAUUGACGCUGAGGUGCGAAAGCUAGGGGAGCAAACGGG
rnacentral:rRNA from 1 species